UGCAUCUGCAGCUCAUGAGGAUGAGAACCUCCGGGGGCAGGGAGGUUCGACUCGAGCGAAGCGAGAGAACGUUGCGCCAGCAACGG
rnacentral:sRNA from 1 species